rnacentral:rRNA from 1 species
GGCGUGCCUUUUGAAGAAUGAGCCUGCGAGUUAGUGGUAUGUGGCGAGGUUAACCCGUGUGGGGCAGCCGUAGCGAAAGCGAGUCUGAAUAGGGCGAUUCAGUCGCAUGUCCUAGACCCGAAGCGAAGUGAUCUACCCAUGGCCAGGUUGAAGCGCGUGUAAGAGCGCGUGGAGGACCGAACCCACUUCAGUUGAAAAUGGAGGGGAUGAGCUGUGGGUAGGGGUGAAAGGCCAAUCAAACUUCGUGAUAGCUGGUUCUCCCCGAAAUGCAUUUAGGUGCAGCGUCGUGUGUUUCUUGCCAGAGGUAGAGCUACUGGAUGGCUGAUGGGCCCCAACGGGUUACUGACGUCAACCAAACUCCGAAUGCUGGUAAGUGAGAGCACGGCAGUGAGACUGUGGGGGAUAAGCUUCAUAGUCGAAAGGGAAACAGCCCAGACCACCGACUAAGGCCCCUAAGCGUGUGCUAAGUGGGAAAGGAUGUGGAGUUGCUCAGACAACCAGGAGGUUGGCUUAGAAGCAGCCAUCCUUUAAAGAAAGCGUAACAGCUCACUGGUCUAAACAAGGGGUUCUGCGCCGAAGAUGUACCGGGGCUCAAGCCACGAGCCGAAGCUUUGGGUUUGGCGAU